AAUGAACGUUAGCGGCGCGCCUGAUGCAUGCAAGUCGAACGGGGGUAGUGAUACUCCAGUGGCGGACGGGUGAGUAACGCGUAGGAAUCUGCCUGGUAGAGGGGGACAACCUGGGGAAACCCAGGCUAAUACCGCAUGAGCUCGCGAGAGGAAAGCGGGGGACCUUCGGGCCUCGCGCUACCGGAUGAGCCUACGUCCGAUUAGCUAGUUGGUGGGGUAACGGCCCACCAAGGCGACGAUCGGUAGCUGGUCUGAGAGGACGAUCAGCCACACUGGGACUGAGACACGGCCCAGACUCCUACGGGAGGCUG
rnacentral:rRNA from 1 species